rnacentral:rRNA from 1 species
AUUGAACGCUGGCGGCAGGCCUAACACAUGCAAGUCGAACGAGUGGCGGACGGGUGAGUAAUGUCGGUGAAACUGCCUGAUUGAGGGGGAUAACUACUGGAAACGGUAGCUAAUACCGCAUACCAUCAGAUUGGCCCAGAUGGGAUUAGCUUGUUGGUGGGGUGACGGCCCCCCGAGGCGACGAUCCCUAUCUGGUCUGAGAGGAUGACCAGCCGCACUGGAACUGAGGCACGGUGCAGAGUCCUACGGGAGGCAGCAGUGGGGAAUGUUGGACAAUGGGCGCAAGCCUGAUGCAGCCAUGCCGCGUGUAUGAAUGAGGCCUUCGGGUUGGAAAGUACUUUCAGCGGGGAGGCGUUACCCGCAGAAGAAGCACCGGCUAACUCCGUGCCAGCAGCCGCGGUAAUAC